rnacentral:rRNA from 1 species
CUAGCCCUAAACCCAAAUAGUUACAUAACAAAACUAUUCGCCAGAGUACUACUCGCAACUGCCUAAAACUCAAAGGACUUGGCGGUGCUUCACAUCCACCUAGAGGAGCCUGUUCUAUAAUCGAUAAACCCCGAUAGACCUUACCAACCCUUGCCAAUUCAGCCUAUAUACCGCCAUCUUCAGCAAACCCUAAAAAGGAACAAUAGUAAGCACAAUCAUAGCACAUAAAAACGUUAGGUCAAGGUGUAGCUUAUGGGUUGGAAAGAAAUGGGCUACAUUUUCUACAUAAGAAUAUCCACCAUACGAAAGUUUUUAUGAAACUAAAAACCAAAG